UACGGGGGGAGCAAGCGUUGUUCGGAUUUACUGGGCGUAAAGGGCGCGUAGGCGGUCAGCACAAGUCAGUUGUGAAAUCUCCGGGCUUAACUCGGAAAGGUCAACUGAUACUGUGCGACUAGAGUUCUGGAGAGGGUCGUGGAAUUCCCGGUGUAGCGGUGAAAUGCGUAGAGAUCGGGAGGAACACCAGAGGCGAAGGCGGCGACCUGGACAGAUACUGACACUCAACUGCGAAAGCGUGGGGAGCAAACAGG
rnacentral:rRNA from 1 species